CCUACGGGAGGCAGCAGUGAGGAAUAUUGGACAAUGGGCGAGAGUCUGAACCAGCCAAGCAGCGUGAAGGAUGACUGCCCUAUGGGUUGUAAACUUCUUUUAUAAAGGAAUAAAACGAGGCACGUGUGCCUUUUUGCAUGUACUUUAUGUAUCAGGAUCGGCUAACGCCGUGCCAGCAGCCGCGGUACUACGGAGGAUCCGAGCGUUAUCCGGAUUUAUUUGGUUUAAAGGGAGCGUAGAUGGGUUGUUAAGUUAGUUGUGAAAGUUUGCGGCUCAACCGUAAAAUGGCAAUGGAUACUGGCAGUCUUGAGUACAGUUGAGGUAGGCGGAAUUCGUGGUGUAGCGGUGAAAUGCGUAGAUAUCACGAAGAACACCGAUUGCGAAGGCAGCUUACUAAGCUGUGACUGACAUUGAUGCUCGAAAGUGUGGGUAGCAAACAGGAUUAGAUACCCGUGUAGUC
rnacentral:rRNA from 1 species